AAGAAAGGCACGCUGUACCUGCAGAAGGGAGACUUAUUGUUAGCUGAGUUUGUUAACUCAGACUUGUCUUGAAUACUUCCUGGUUUCUGCCCCAUUUUCCUUCCAUCUGGCUUUGCCCAGUGGACCAGAGUCACAGGAGGAGGGACAGGAGUGAGGAACCCAAGUGCUGAGAAAUCCAUAGUAGCACCACCCUCAGAGUUAGGUCACCCAGGAACUUGGGAAUUCGUGUCAAGUUCCAUUUAUUGCCAAAGAAGCCCACGUGGGUCAGGAUGGAGCUUGCUUUGGAAGAGUAUGCCUGGGAAGUUGAGCUGAAUAUGAUAGCACAUGCCUGGGAGGUGAACAAGGAUCAGGAGUUCAAGGCCACCUCGUCUCAAGAAGCAAAAACAAACCGGGGGGAAAAAUCGUUAUAAAUUGCAUCAUAUUCUAAACAUGUAAAAGGAGGUUGAUUAUUUUGUUGUGAAGACUUUUGUAGAGAUUUUAUUCACACACACACACCAAAAUAGGGUUUAAUUUUUACUGGCUGGAGAGUAUAAGAAAGGGUUGAAGUAACCCUGGUUGGCCUGAAACUUUCAAAGUAGACCAGGCUAGCUUGUCACUUGUAGCAAUCUUCUUAGCUCUGUUUUCCAAGCUCUGAGAUUACAGAUAUGCCACCAUGACAUCCAGCUCUAUUAUUCACUUCUAUUAAUGCUGGAGAUUAAAUCCAGGGUCUUGCAGAUCUCAGCACAGUCUGUCAUUUAGCCAUACUGCCAGCCCAGAUUAUUAUUAUUUUGCCUAGGUGACCUUGGCUGUAUUGUCUCAUGAGUAGAAUGGCAAUCUUGGUAGUCAUUGGAAUAGCCAGCCUCUAUUCAAGUAAAAGGAUUUUCUAAAUUUAAUUUUAUGCAUACGAGUGUGUUUGUCUACAUGCAUGUAUGUGUACCACGUGUGUUCCUGAGACCCGAAGGAGUCUGAAGAGGGUGUCAGAUGCUCUGGAACUGGAAUAGUGGAUGAGUGUAAGCAGACAUGCAGGUCCACAUGAAUUAAACUUGGGUCCUCUCAAAAGUGUGGCAAGUGCUCUUAACCACUGAGCCAUCUCUCCAGCCCCAAGACUGGGUGUUGAAAUCUUCAUUUCAGCAUGCACACAGCAUGUUUGCAUGCUAUAUAUGCACACAGCAUGUUUGCAUAAGCUAUAGAAGGGCUUUAUUUAAAGUUACAUAUGGCAGACCUUCUUAUAGUCUGUAGGAAAAUUAUAGUUAUUAUUUUUAAGGGUUUCUGGAAACUUGAAAAAAAGCACUUAGAAUUAUUUCUACACAAGAGAUAGUUUUCCUUUGAAAGCUUGGUUCAUAGCAGAAGACUUUCCAUAAAAACCGAUAGGAACUUCAAGUAAAAGAAAGAGUUAGCAGUGGGACUCAAAACAUAUUUUUCUCUCAUUUAUUUGUGCUCGUGUACCUGUGUGGGUAUGUGUGCUAUGGUGUCUAUGGGGUUCCCUCCUUCUCCCAUGGGGAUUCUAGAGGUCAAACUCAGGUUAUUAGCCUUAGUGGCAGGCACUUUCCUUCACUGAGUCAUCUCAGUGGCUCCAGCAGGUCUCAUACCUGUACUUAGGGGAUUCGUCCUAAAGAAACCACUUAUGCAGUUGGAUGUGGUAGCACUUUGAUGCCAGCACUUGGGAGGCAGAGGCAGGUGGAUCUCUGAGUUUGAGGCUAGACUGGUCUAUAGAAUGAGUUCUG
rnacentral:lncRNA from 1 species